rnacentral:rRNA from 1 species
CUACGGGUUGCUGCAGUGAGGAAUAUUGCACAAUGGGGGGAACCCUGAUGCAGCAACGCCGCGUGGAGGAUGACGCAUUUCGGUGUGUAAACUCCUUUUAUAUGUCAAGAAAAUGACGGUAGCAUAUGAAUAAGCACCGGCUAACUCCGUGCCAGCAGCCGCGGUAAUACGGAGGGUGCAAGCGUUACUCGGAAUCACUGGGCGUAAAGGACGCGUAGGCGGGUUGGAAAGUCAAGGUGUGAAGUCCUACAGCUUAACUGUAGAACUGCACUUGAAACUUCUAAUCUAGAGUAUGGGAGGGGGAGAUGGAAUUAGUGGUGUAGGGGUAAAAUCCGUAGAUAUCACUAGGAAUACCUAAGCGAAGGCGAUCUCCUGGAACAUUACUGACGCUAAGGCGUGAAAGCGUGGGGAGCAAACAGGAUUAGAUACCCCGGUAGUC